CUGGCGCGGCCCUAACACAUGCAAGUCGAGCGGCAGCGGAAAGUAGCUUGCUACUUUGCCGGCGAGCGGCGGACGGGUGAGUAAUGUCUGGGAAACUGCCUGAUGGAGGGGGAUAACUACUGGAAACGGUAGCUAAUACCGCAUGACCUCGAAAGAGCAAAGUGGGGGAUCUUCGGACCUCACGCCAUCGGAUGUGCCCAGAUGGGAUUAGCUAGUAGGUGAGGUAAUGGCUCACCUAGGCGACGAUCCCUAGCUGGUCUGAGAGGAUGACCAGCCACACUGGAACUGAGACACGGUCCAGACUCCUACGGGAGGCAGCAGUGGGGAAUAUUGCACAAUGGGCGCAAGCCUGAUGCAGCCAUGCCGCGUGUGUGAAGAAGGCCUUAGGGUUGUAAAGCACUUUCAGCGAGGAGGAAGGCAUCAUACUUAAUACGUGUGGUGAUUGACGUUACUCGCAGAAGAAGCACCGGCUAACUCCGUGCCAGCAGCCGCGGUAAUACGGAGGGUGCAAGCGUUAAUCGGAAUUACUGGGCGUAAAGCGCACGCAGGCGGUUUGUUAAGUCAGAUGUGAAAUCCCCGCGCUUAACGUGGGAACUGCAUUUGAAACUGGCAAGCUAGAGUCUUGUAGAGGGGGGUAGAAUUCCAGGUGUAGCGGUGAAAUGCGUAGAGAUCUGGAGGAAUACCGGUGGCGAAGGCGGCCCCCUGGACAAAGACUGACGCUCAGGUGCGAAAGCGUGGGGAGCAAACAGGAUUAGAUACCCUGGUAGUCCACGCUGUAAACGAUGUCGACUUGGAGGUUGUGCCCUUGAGGCGUGGCUUCCGGAGCUAACGCGUUAAGUCGACCGCCUGGGGAGUACGGCCGCAAGGUUAAAACUCAAAUGAAUUGACGGGGGCCCGCACAAGCGGUGGAGCAUGUGGUUUAAUUCGAUGCAACGCGAAGAACCUUACCUACUCUUGACAUCCACGGAAUUCGCCAGAGAUGGCUUAGUGCCUUCGGGAACCGUGAGACAGUGCUGCAUGGCUGUCGUCAGCUCGUGUUGUGAAAUGUUGGUAGUCCCGCACGAGCGCACCCUUAUCCUUUGUUGCCAGCACGUAAUGGUGGGAACUCAAGGAGACUGCCGGUGAUAAACCCG
rnacentral:rRNA from 1 species